rnacentral:rRNA from 1 species
CACGUAGGGUCCAAGCGUUGUCCGGAUUUAUUGGGCGUAAAGAGCUCGUAGGCGGCUUGGUAAGUCGAGUGUGAAAACUCUGGGCUCAACUCAGAGACGCCACUCGAUACUGCUAUGGCUAGAGUCCGGUAGGGGAGUGUGGAAUUCCCGGUGUAGCGGUGAAAUGCGCAGAUAUCGGGAGGAACACCAGUGGCGAAAGCGACUUCCUGGACCAGUACCGACGUUCAGGCACGAAAGCGUGGGGAGCAAACAGG